UUUCCGUAGGUGAACCUGCGGAAGGAUCAUUGUCGAAACCUGCACAGCAGAACGACCAGCGAACAUGUUUUCAUCGGCACCCUAACAAACCCCGGCGCGGAAUGCGCCAAGGAACAACAACUCUAACGCCUUUUCCGUGCCCGGUAACCCGGGGCAGGAGCCAUUCGUAACAAUGAACGACUCUCGGCAACGGAUAUCUCGGCUCUCGCAUCGAUGAAGAACGUAGCGAAAUGCGAUACUUGGUGUGAAUUGCAGAAUCCCGUGAACCAUCGAGUCUUUGAACGCAAGUUGCGCCCGAGGCCUCCGGCUGAGGGCACGUCUGCCUGGGCGUCACGCAUCGCGUCUCCCCUCACCCUCCGCGGGGGAAGGAUGAUGGCCUCCCGUGCCUCACCGGGCGCGGCUGGCCUAAAAACGGAGCCCCCGGCGACGAGCUGCCGCGGCAUUUGGUGGUUCGUCGCGCCCCUCUUAGCCCUUGAAGCUCGAGCGACCCAUGCCGUUGCGACCCCAGGUCAGGCGGGGCUA
rnacentral:rRNA from 1 species